rnacentral:rRNA from 1 species
AUUGAACGCUGGCGGCAUGCCUUACACAUGCAAGUCGAACGGCAGCACGGGGCAACCUGGUGGCGAGUGGCGAACGGGUGAGUAAUGCAUCGGAACGUACCUUUCAGUGGGGGAUAACGCAGCGAAAGUUACGCUAAUACCGCAUAUUCUGUGAGCAGGAAAGCAGGGGAUCGCAAGACCUUGCGCUGAUUGAGCGGCCGAUGUCAGAUUAGCUAGUUGGUGAGGUAAAGGCUCACGCAGGCGACGAUCUGUAGCGGGUCUGAGAGGAUGAUCCGCCACACUGGAACUGAGACACGGUCCAGACUCCUACGGGAGGCAGCAGUGGGGAAUUUUGGACAAUGGGGGCAACCCUGAUCCAGCCAUGCCGCGUGAGUGAAGAAGGCCUUCGGGUUGUAAAGCUCUUUCGGCCGGGAAGAAAUCGCACGGGCUAAUACCCUGUGUGGAUGACGGUACCGGAAUAAGAAGCACCGGCUAACUACGUGCCAGCAGCCGCCGUAAAAC